rnacentral:SRP_RNA from 1 species
AGUUGGUUCCUUCGCAAUAACUAUCUGUAAACUCCGCCAGGCCCGGAAGGGAGCAACGGUAGCAGUGCUGUUAUGUGCCGGAGUGUGGCUGGCUAGG